UCAGGUGGUUAUAGCGGCGGUGUCCCACCUCUUCCCAUUCCGAACAGAGAAGUUAAGCCCGCUUCGCGCCGAUGGUACUGCAAUGCAAUGCGGGAGAGUAGGUAGCUGCCUUCUU
rnacentral:rRNA from 1 species